UACAGAGGUGGCAAGCGUUGUUCGGAAUUACUGGGCGUAAAGGGCUCGUAGGCGGCCAACUAAGUCAGACGUGAAAUCCCUCGGCUUAACCGGGGAACUGCGUCUGAUACUGGAUGGCUUGAGUUUGGGAGAGGGAUGCGGAAUUCCAGGUGUAGCGGUGAAAUGCGUAGAUAUCUGGAGGAACACCGGUGGCGAAGGCGGCAUCCUGGACCGGCAUUGACGCUGAGGCACGAAAGCUGGGGGAGCGAACAGG
rnacentral:rRNA from 1 species